UUCCAUGACCCGGUGCCUGUGCUGGCCCUGGACAUAGGCACCGGUUGAAAUGAAUACCCGGUACCGAUGGCCGGCCUGAUCUCCUUCGAUAUUUUAAGUCCUGACCACCCAUCUCUUCUCUCCACCGCACAGACCCCCACUCUCUUAUCCUCUCCACCGCCCAGCACCCAUCUCUUCGAUCUUCUCCCCAUUGCUCCUCUCUCCCACGCCAUAGAGGUCAGGCUGGUGGAUCGAGCCCAUGUGCCGAAAGCUCAUUGCCAAGGUGGUCUGGGUCAUGAGCAGCUUCAUCGUCUGCAUCGCCAUGGCCAUGGUCACCAUCCUCAGCUCCUGUCGCUCGAGGUGGCGCGGUGCUCACCCUGCCCGACGGCAAGCUUGCGGGAUGCAGGAUGCACUUGGCGUAUGCUCGGUCCCUGUUCGUGGAUGGACCGGCGGUGGCUCCCUCUUGCGGAUCCAGGCAUGAAGCGGCCAGAUCCGGUGAGGAGGCAUCACGCUUAGUCGCUUGGACGCCAUGGAGGUGGCGGCGAGCAGCCGUACGGCGGGGAGCCACUGGCCGCAUCAGACGGAUGGGCCGCACGGCCAGAGCAAGGCAUGGCCGUUCCCAUGCCUGCGCCCACCGAGCACCAUGCAAUUCCCCUUCGAGGUAAACUAUAUGCGAGCCUUUCUUGCUAAUCUGCUGCUCCACAUUUCGAUUCAGAAGCUCACGCACUCUCUGGCAUGCGCGUGGGAGCCGACCGCCGCCGACGACGCCGUGGGGCGCGCUGGCCACCGCCGCGGGAGCUGGCGUGGGGCGCUCGGGCUGCCACCGCCGCCGUGGGGCGCGCGGGCUGCCACAGCUGCGGGAGCCGGCCGUAGCUCCCGUAGGCCGCGCAGGCCGCCACCGCUGCGUGUCUGCGGGAGCCGGCUGCCAUCGGGGGAGUGAGCGGGCUGACGCCGCCGCCGGAGUAGGACGGGAGCCGGCCGCGUGGGUGAUUUCUUCUCUUUUUUUUCUUCUUAUUUUUCAGAAACAGAUAUGUAUAUGGGAUUGUAUUGAUUGGAUGUAUCUUGUGAACUAUUCUUUGGAUGAUUUGUGAGACAUGACUAUUUUGU